CAAAUAUGUGAGCAAUCCAAUUCCAGAAUUCCACUUUUCCAGGACUACUCAUGGUACAAAUUACUGUAUUAUUCAGGGUUGUAGCAGGAAACAGAUGGCACAACCAAAAGUAAUGAUCAAAGAGGGUGUAGGCAAGAAUAACAGAAAUCUAUGAGAGAUGGUGCAGCAGCUUAGGCUAAGCAAGAGCAAGAUCUUUCUACUCCUAAAAUGAAAAGGCAGGGAAAAGUGGUUCCUGAACCUGUGAGAUCUAUAUAAUGGAGAAGGCUACGUCAGAAGCUGUGAUGCUGAGGAACACAGUUAUUUCCAAGCCACUGCAGGGCAGGAAGGGAAUCAUCAUGACUUUGUACCAUUUCGUAUUGGAAUUUCUUCUGUGAAGCAAAAACAGUCCCAAAAUGAAGGAUCUUCAGGUGUCAUGGGAACAGCAGAUGAUAUUAAAUCAUUAAAGUUGAGAAUAGUAAAUUGCCUCUGGGUUGGUUUGGAAUCAUCCUGAGAUGGAACCUAAAAGAGAAAUGCAGAUUACCUUAUUGUUAUAUUGCAUGUUAAUCUUAUGAUCAAUUUCAUAAUCAUGAAAAUAAGUAAGACCAACUUACAUUUCAGUAGUAUUAAAUGACAACAUAGUAGGAUUCCUAGAACACUGUUUUUAUUUCUUAUAUUAGUGUUGCCAAUACAACAAAUCAAAAAAAAAUGAAAUAGAAAA
rnacentral:antisense_RNA from 1 species